UCCACGAGUGGUGAAUCCAGGUUGAACCUUCAGCUAUGAAACUCCUUUACCUUCUGGUUGCAUUUCUUACAUUGCUGGUGCUGAUUGAGCCAGGAUAUUCUCAAAACAUACGAAAUGCAGAGCAAUGUAGAGCUGCAGGUGGAGAGUGCAGAAAGGGGAAAUGUCCUGGUGGUUACAAACGCAUUGGGAGAUGUGACAGAAAGGUUCCUUGCUGCAAAAGAAAAUGAAUUGGUGAGUGACAGCAUGACCGUAUCAUAGCAGCAGAUUCAAAAUUAAUUGUCGUUUGCUUCUUGGCUACUCUGAUGGGAAAUGGAUUUGAAAUUUUAAGUAUGUUUCAAUAAAGACAA